CACCACCGUGCAAAAUAUCCCCAACUCCACGACCCUAACCCGUGCCUGCCGCCGCCGCCCUCGUGCUCGAUCCACAGUCCUGCCGCCGGCCUCGCGCACCACCCGUCGUCAAGCCAUCAUCUCGGAGCUCGCACUCCGCCGCGGCCGAGCUCCACCCCGACAUACACCCAUCCUUGCACUCCGCUCCCCCUCCCCUCGAGCUCCGUCCCGAGAUCGAGCGGCCGUCCUCGCGAUCCACAUCCAGCCGCCGUCCUCGCGAUCCACAUCCAACCGCCGUCCUCGCCCCUCCCCUGACAUCCAGCCGUCGUCCUCGCCAAUCCCCGUCCCUGCUACUGCCGGGCUCCAUCUCUGGGCUCCCGCAGCUGCCGCACCUGCUUUUGUCGGGACUCCAUAUCCGAGCUCCCGCUGCUGCCAGAUCUGCUGCUACUGGACCUGCUGCUGUCGGGGCUGCAUCUUCUGUGCUGCGCCCCUCCCGAAGACAGCCGUGCCCUGAGUUUUUCUACACAGAUUGCUCGGUCCCUGAUACACUUGAUGAAAUUGUUCCAACACCAAGGGGAAGAGCUCUUUGUUCCUGCAUAUUUUCCUAUAUUCAAUGGUUUAGUUGUGAAUAUAUGUUUGGGGAAAUCCAUAUACGUGAAUAGCAAGUGACUAUAUAUGUUAAGGGACUUAAUUGUUUCAUAUCGGUCAUGUUACUUGUGAUGCCAGAUUGUGCAGUUUGUUUUGUGUAAAAAUACUCCACCCCCAUGUCCUCCUUUUAAUCACUCCCCUUAUACUUUUUCUCUGAUCCAGACUUUGUCAUUGAUAACAUUAUUUCGCAGUACUUAGGUGAAACUGCAGAACUAAGAUGGAAGGAAAGGGACAAUAUGACCAGACUCAACGAAAUACAUCCAGAUGGUGUGUGAAGGAGUUGGGUGCAAGGUUGCUUCACCGGAGUAGCGACAUGUUUUCGUAUUCAACUCUACACCUAAGCCCCUCUUUUGUGAAGCUCUAAUAAUGUGAUCAAACAUCGCUGUCAUGCCAUGGGCCGGGAACCAUGACCACCAGCAUGGGCAAUGGGCGGAGAACGGAUGGCUACCUCGCUGGGAACCAUGGUUGCGCACGUGCAGCAGAAAGUGAAUAGUGGAUGGAAAGGCCACCUCACUGGGAACCAGGGCCACGACUUGUAGUGGGCAAUUGGUGGUGAAUGGAAGGCUACCUGGCCGGAUACCUCAACUACUAGGCACUUAGCCACCUGGUGCACAUGGACGUCAUGACUUUGCAGCGUUUAUGGACCAACCAACUUGUAAUCAUGGAUCUGAUGUCUUCUAGACCAUUUGGUGCUUCGGGUAUUUCGGAGCUUGCACUUUGUGCAUGUGGAUACAGACUUCUGUGUCCUGGACCAUCUAGUUGAAGUCUCUCAUACCAGCAAAUAGUGCUCAACUUUUUGUGACUCGUGUAUUCUGGGUGAUUGUUAAGAUGGUGAAAACUAUGCUGUGUCAAGAUUGAUGUGUUUGUCAACUUGUGUUCAAUGUAUAUGCAUGUUUGUGAACA